UUCCAAAAUCACAAUGGGUUUGAUGUACCAGAUCAACUGAUUGAGGAGUUCAAUAAAUGGAUUUUCAAAGAUGUGUCGAGCAGACGUGGCAGAAAAGCAGCAUAUUCCAAGAUUAAAAACACAUUUCAUCCUCAAAUGGACUUUGGCGUUGUCAAAAUCGGAGAUAAAGAUUUUUUUCACAUAAUGAGUCAACCGGGCAGACCUUGGGAGGACGGGCAUAUUAAUACAAUAAUGUAUUAUCUCCGAAAGAAGGCA